rnacentral:rRNA from 1 species
ACGCUCGACACCUACGGGGGCAGCAGUAGGGAAUCUUCCACAAUGGGCGCAAGCCUGAUGGAGCAACACCGCGUGAGUGAAGAAGGGUUUCGGCUCGUAAAGCUCUGUUGUUGGAGAAGAACGUGCGUGAGAGUAACUGUUCACGCAGUGACGGUAUCCAACCAGAAAGUCACGGCUAACUACGUGCCAGUAGCCGCGGUAAUCUGAGCGGGCUGGCAAGGC